GACGAACGCUGGCGGCAGGCCUAAAACAUGCAAGUCGAACGAUCUAGCAAUAGAUAGUGGCGCACGGGUGAGUAACACGUGGGAAUAUCCCUUUCACUACGGAACAACGUCGGGAAACUGACGCUAAUACCGUAUAAUGUCUCCGGACCAAAGAUUUAUCGGUGAAAGAUUAGCCCGCGUCUGAUUAGCUAGUUGGUGAGGUAACGGCUCACCAAGGCAACGAUCAGUAGCUGGUCUGAGAGGAUGAUCAGCCACACUGGAACUGAGACACGGUCCAGACUCCUACGGGAGGCAUCAGUUAGGAAUAUUGGACAAUGGGGGCAACCCUGAUCCAGCCAUGCCGCGUUUGUGACGAAGGCCUUAGGGUUGUAAAGCACUUUCGUCUACGAAGAUAAUGACAGUAGUAGAAGAAGAAGCUCCGGCUAAAUUCGUGCCAGCAGCCGCUGUAA
rnacentral:rRNA from 1 species